rnacentral:rRNA from 1 species
AACGAACGCUGGCGGCAUGCCUAACACAUGCAAGUCGAACGAGACCUUCGGGUCUAGUGGCGCACGGGUGCGUAACGCGUGGGAACCUGCCCUUAGGUUCGGAAUAACUCCCCGAAAGGGGUGCUAAUACCGGAUAAUGUCUUCGGACCAAAGAUUUAUCGCCUUUGGAUGGGCCCGCGUUGGAUUAGCUAGUUGGUAGGGUAAAAGCCUACCAAGGCGACGAUCCAUAGCUGGUCUGAGAGGAUGAUCAGCCACACUGGGACUGGGACACGGCCCAGACUCCUACGGGAGGCAGCAGUGGGGAAUAUUGGAAAAUGGGCGAAAGCCUGAUCCAGCACUGCCGCGUGAGUGAUGAAGGCCUUAGGGUUGUAAAGCUCUUUUACCCGGGAUGAUAAUGACAGUACCGGGAGAAUAAGCUCCGGCUAACUCCGUG